GGGACCUUGGCGCAGUUGGCUAGCGCGCAGGUCUCAUAGCUUUCUAUGAUCUGGUGAAAUAACAUCAGAGUAAUCCUGAGGUCGGGAGUUCGAGCCUCCCAGGUCCCA